AACGAACGCUGGCGGCAGGCCUAACACAUGCAAGUCGAGCGAGGACUUCGGUUCUAGCGGCGGACGGGUGAGUAACGCGUGGGAAUGUGCCCUUCUCUACGGAAUAGCCCUGGGAAACUGGGAGUAAUACCGUAUACGCCCUUUUGGGGAAAGAUUUAUCGGAGAAAGAUCAGCCCGCGUUGGAUUAGGUAGUUGGUGGGGUAAUGGCCUACCAAGCCGACGAUCCAUAGCUGGUUUGAGAGGAUGAUCAGCCACACUGGGACUGAGACACGGCCCAGACUCCUACGGGAGGCAGCAGUGGGGAAUCUUAGACAAUGGGGGCAACCCUGAUCUAGCCAUGCCGCGUGAGUGAUGAAGGCCUUAGGGUUGUAAAGCUCUUUCAGCUGGGAAGAUAAUGACGGUACCAGCAGAAGAAGCCCCGGCUAACUCCGUG
rnacentral:rRNA from 1 species